UUUAAAGGUAAUUGUCUAUUAUACCCUUCAUUUAGUAGAGAUCAGAAAAUCAAAUCUGUGUGAUAGUUGUAUCCCUAAAAUACCGUGAAUAUUGUCUUCACAAAUCACGAGUUUCCCUCUCUUCUCCGAUGGUUCUUCCCGGACUCAAACCUGACCACCUUUUGUCUCUGUACGAUAUUAUCAUAUUAUAUCCCUAAACCUUCUCCUGAUGCAGUCUGCAACGUGUUUUGAACAAGAAAUCACGAGGGUUUGAAUACCCUAGAUCAAGAGCUCGUAGUUCAGGCCCCUAAUUGUACCGCUAAUCCCUUCUUCACUAAUCAACAACAUGUUCUGAUUAAACACGCUGCUGCUUCUUUGGUGGUGCAAUCUUCAGCCAAGUAAAAGGUAAGUGAUUUACUGUGUAUGUUUCAUUUGUCACCUGGUUUAGAGUUUGAACUCUCAUGUUAUUAACAAAACCUGUGAAACCCACUUCAAGAAACACACGUACUUCACAUUCCGGCAAGAAAGUCAAAGAAGCCAAAAAAAUUUCGAAAAGAAAAUCAGUUUGUGCUAUGUAAUGGUGCAUUUUUUCUUGAUUUUAACGACUUGAUUUUGCCCACCUGCAACGGAUUUUCAUAUGUGCUAUGUAAUGGUGUUUUUUGCAUCUAGAAAUUGCUUUAUAGACGGCCUUCUCCGGCGAACGUGGUUUUUCUCCGGCAAAUAUCUGGUUCGUGUUUAGAGUUUUUCCGGUUACUGUGCAUCUUGAUGGUACCUUGGUAAGAGAAGAGAUGGAAGGGAGAUAAAUGAACCUAUAUAUUAAGGAGUUGGAUUGAAGUAAACCUUAGUUAUUUAUUAGGCCAUUGAGUUUUCCUGGGUUUUUUUGGUGGUAUGACAGGAAAGAGAAGGAGAUGGAGACGAAAGGGAGAUAAACUAAGUAGGGUCCAUUUUUUUUUAUAAAGGAGGGGCAUAAUUGUCAAUUUACAUAAGAAAUCUGUGGAAAUAUAAAAAAUUUCAGUGGAGUUUUACCUAAACUGUUAUGGCAAAGGAGUUGGAGUCCUCCAAAAGAAGAUUUGGAGAAGUUGGAAGUAGGUUGUUAUUCCGCUUCAAGAGAUCGUUACAUAAACGAUGAUAUCAAACAAGCUUACCAAGUUGACCGGAUCGGGUCAUAUAAAAACACCUGACAACUAGUCAAACCCAAAUCAAACAUGCCUUAUAUCUACUUGAGAUUUACACACAAAAUAAAAGUUUACUUGGAGGUUGAUAGUCCAACCAAGGUUGAUGAAGGGAGCGAGAGUCCACAAUUCUUGGAUUUGACACAACUAUUGGGUCCAUUUGUGCCUUCAGAUCAAACAUACAAAUAGGUUUGGAAUUUUGAUAUUUAUGAAGUUUUUAUAUUGACGAGGGUUAUUUGGGAGCGGGGAAUGACUGCACUGAAUGGAAUUAUAUUUAUUUCAUAAAAGAUUAAUACUCUUGUUUGGCUAGUUUUAAUAAACGAACUACAACCCAUUCUAAUUUCGUCAAUAAAGGCAUUGAUCUAGAGUAUAUUAUGUGUAUAGAAUCAUACUAUGGAUGUGCAUCAUUUGUUCUUUACUUGAGAUGUAGCAGAACAAUUUUGGUCAAGUAUUGGUAGUUCGUGGGAUCUUGUUAUUCGUUGUUGUAUUUUUGUCAGCAGGUUGUGUACGUGUAUUGAUACUAUGAUCAUUCCUAGUACAAAAAAUCUUACUUUGGAUGUUGUGAUAAUGA